UACAGAGGGUGCAAGCGUUGCUCGGAUUUACUGGGCGUAAAGCGUACGCAGACGGUAAGAAAGGUCGGAUGUGAAAGCCCCGGGCUCAACCCGGGAACUGCAUCCGAAACCAUCUUGCUAGAGUAUGAGAGAGGGAAGCGGAAUUCCUGGUGUAGAGGUGAAAUUCGUAGAUAUCAGGAGGAACACCGGCGGCGAAGGCGGCUUCCUGGCUCAUUACUGACGUUCAGGUACGAAAGCGUGGGUAGCAAACAGG
rnacentral:rRNA from 1 species